rnacentral:rRNA from 1 species
GACGAGGGAUCCUAGCGUUGCUCGGAAUCAUUGGGCGUAAAGCGGGUGUAGGUGGUUUUGUAAGUCUGGCGUGAAAUUUUUCGGCUUAACCGGGAAAGGUCGUCGGAUACUGCAGGACUAGAGGACGGUAGAGGCGUGUGGAAUUCCGGGUGUAGUGGUGAAAUGCGUAGAGAUCCGGAGGAACACCAGUGGCGAAGGCGACACGCUGGGCCGUACCUGACACUGAUGCGCGACAGCAUGGGGAGCAAACAGG